rnacentral:rRNA from 1 species
GACGAACGCUGGCGGCGUGCCUAAUACAUGCAAGUAGGACGCAGUUGCGAACGGGUGAGUAACGCGUAGGUAACUACCUAUUAGAGGGGGAUAACUAUUGGAAACGAUAGCUAAUACCGCAUACUAGUAGAUGGACCUGCGUUGUAUUAGCUAGUAGGUAGGGUAAUGGCCUACCUAGGCAACGAUACAUAGCCGACCGGGUCAGGGGAUCGGCCACACUGUGACUGGGACAAGGCACAGACUCCGACGGGAGGCAGCGGUAGGGAAUCUUCGGCAAUUGGGGGAACCCUGAACGGGCAACGCAGCGUGAGUGAAGAGGGUGUUCGGGUCGUAAAGCUCGGUUGUUAAGGAAGCGGUACUUAACCAGAAAGAGACGGCUAACUACGUGCCAGCAGCCGCGGUAAUAC